AGUACUUUAGAACUUCCAGGCAGCAGGCAUUUGCUGUUUGUGGCUGGAUGAGGUUUGGCCUUUCUGUUUCUUUUUCUACCAGGACCAAUCCAAGAUAGUGCUGUGGAUGGAGGUCUCUGCAAAUGAACCUCUAUGUCUCUGUGGAAGAGAGACAGUACAGUGCUCAGAGCUGGGCAUAAUGGUAUAGACCUAUAAUCCAAGCAGUGGGGGUGAGGUGGGGGUGGAGGCUGAGGAAGGUAGAGUACUGU
rnacentral:lncRNA from 1 species